GCCCAAUUUCGCACGUGCCUGUGGUCGUGUGUCAGUCGGUAGGUAUCCGGACAAGAGGCCGGACAGCCGCCAAGGGAUAAAGAAGCCGAGGGUCGGUGAUCGCAAGAUCAGCGGCCAGCAUCUCUCUCAAGGGAUGCCGUUGAAGGUGACUUUACCCCUUGCAACCGUGACUGGCAGCCGGAGGCGAACCGGCGCACCUCGCUCUCAACGAGGGACGCGACUUAAAGCAACGACGGAUCGGGCUUUU
rnacentral:sRNA from 1 species